rfam:Canis lupus familiaris chromosome 36, whole genome shotgun sequence.
GUGCUUGCUUUGGCAGCACAUACACUAAAAACUGGAAUUAUACAGAGAAGAUUCAGCAUUGUUCCUGUGCAAGGAUGACAUGUAAAUUUGGAGAAAAAAUAUUUGACUAU